GGGUAAUUAACUCAAUUGGUAGAGUAUUCGUUUUACACACGAAAGGUUAAAGGUUCAAAUCCUUUAUUGCCUA